GACGAACGCUGGCGGCGUGCCCAAUACAUGCAAGUUGAGCGCUGAAGGUUGGUACUUGUACCAACUGGAUGAGCAGCGAACGGGUGAGUAACGCGUGGGGAAUCUGCCUUUGAGCGGGGGACAACAUUUGGAAACGAAUGCUAAUACCGCAUAAAAACUUUAAACACAAGUUUUAAGUUUGAAAGAUGCAAUUGCAUCACUCAAAGAUGAUCCCGCGUUGUAUUAGCUAGUUGGUGAGGUAAAGGCUCACCAAGGCGAUGAUACAUAGCCGACCUGAGAGGGUGAUCGGCCACAUUGGGACUGAGACACGGCCCAAACUCCUACGGGAGGCAGCAGUAGGGAAUCUUCGGCAAUGGACGAAAGUCUGACCGAGCAACGCCGCGUGAGUGAAGAAGGUUUUCGGAUCGUAAAACUCUGUUGGUAGAGAAGAACGUUGGUGAGAGUGGAAAGCUCAUCAAGUGACGGUAACUACACAGAAAGGGACGGCUAACUACGUG
rnacentral:rRNA from 1 species